rnacentral:rRNA from 1 species
CAAUAGCGUAUAUUAAAGCUGUUGCGGUUAAAAAGCUCGUAGUUGGAUUUCUGUCAAGGACAACUGGUCCGCCCCUCGGGUGAGCACAUAGUUUGGUCUUGGCAUCUUGUUGGAAACUGUUGCUGCACUUGGUUGUGUGGCGCAGUGUCCAGCACUUUCACUUUGAGGAAAUUGGAGUGUUUCAAGCAGGCACAUGCCUUUGGACACAGUAGCAUGGAAUAAUUAGAUUGGGCUUUUGCUCCAACUUGUCGGUUUCUGGAGCUGAGGUGAGAAUUAAUGGGGAUUGUUGGGGGCAUCCGAAUUUAGCCGUCAGAGGUGAAAUUCUUGGAUCUGCUAAAGACGGACAACUGCGAAAGCGUUUGCCCAGGAUGUCUUCAUUGA